rnacentral:rRNA from 1 species
AGUAAUUAAAAAUAUAAUUAUAGAUAUUAAAUGUUAAAUCAUUAAAUUUAAAAGAUUUGGCGGUAUUUUAUAUAAUUAGAGGAACCUGUAUAUUAAUUGAUAAUCCACAAUAAUAUAAACUUAAUUAAUAAUUUAUGUAUUGCUGUUUAAAGAAUUUUAUUAAUUAAAUUUUUAAAUUUUUAUAUUUUAAUUUAAUUCAAGUCAAAAUAUAGUAUAUUUAAGAUUAAUAUGGGUUACAAUUAUUUAUUAAUAUUGGAUAAAUUAAAUUUAAUUAUUUAUUUUGAAAUUGGAUUUAAUAGUAAAUUUAAUAAAUUAAUUAUUUUGAAUUUAAGAUAAAAUAAGU